rnacentral:rRNA from 1 species
GAUGAACGCUGGCGGCGUGCCUAAUACAUGCAAGUCGAGCGAACAGACGAGGAGUUUGCUCCUCGGACGAUUGGGGCAGGGGGGAGAGUCACAUGUGGAUCCCGCACCUAAAAGACGGGGAACACUUCGGGAAACCGGCUCUUACCCCGGAGAAUAUAUUGAAGCGUGUGGUUCAAUAGUGAAAUACGGUUUUGCUGGCACUAAUCGAUGCAUCUGCGCCGCAUUAGCUAGUUGGGAGGGUAACGGCUUACCAAGGCGACGAUGCGUAGCCGACUGAAGAGGGUGAUCGGCCACCCUGGACCUGGGACAGGGUCCAGACUCCUACGGGAGGCAGCAGAAGGGAAUCUUCCGCAAUGGGCGAAAGCCUGACGGAGCAACGCGGCGUGAGUGAUGAAGGUCUUGGGAUCGUAAGACUCUGUUAUUAGGGAAGAACAACUGUGUAAGUAACUAUGCACGUCUUGACGGUACCUAAUCAGAAAGCCACGGCUAACUACGUG